rnacentral:rRNA from 2 species
AGAGUUUGAUCAUGGCUCAGGAUGAACGCUAGCGGCAGGCUUAAUACAUGCAAGUCGUGGGGCAGCAUGGGGUAGCAAUACUCUGAUGGCGACCGGCAAACGGGUGAGGAGCACGUACGCAACCUUCCUUUAACUGGAGAAUAGCCCCUCGAAAGAGGGAUUAAUACUCCGUAACAUAAUGAUAAGGCAUCUUAUUAUUAUUAUAGCUCCGGCGGUUAAAGAUGGGCGUGCGACUGAUUAGAUAGUUGGCGGGGUAACGGCCCACCAAGUCUGCGAUCAGUAACUGGUGUGAGAGCACGACCAGUCACACGGGCACUGAGACACGGGCCCGACUCCUACGGGAGGCAGCAGUAAGGAAUAUUGGUCAAUGGACGCAAGUCUGAACCAGCCAUGCCGCGUGGAGGAUUAAGGCCCUCUGGGUUGUAAACUCCUUUUAUCUGGGAAGAAAUGCAUUUUUUCUAAAAUGCUUGACGGUACCAGAGGAAUAAGCACCGGCUAACUCCGUGCCAGCAGCCGCGGUAAUACGGAGGGUGCAAGCGUUAUCCGGAUUCACUGGGUUUAAAGGGUGCGUAGGCGGAUAGGUUAAUCAGUGGUGAAACU